CAAGGAGAGAACCUCUUUCAUUGGGCUUGAUCCUUCAGCAAUAGCCAAGUGAAUAUAACAGUUACUCAUGUAAGGAUAUACCGAACAGGCACUGUGUUUCCCUUGGACAUCUAGUGUAAGGUAUUCUGUGGUGGCGUUUACUGGACCAUAUAAGAGAUUAAUCCAAGCCAGAGCAAUGCUGUCAAAGUAGAAGAAUCACCAAGACUCCUGCUUCACUUGUAGACUGGUCUUUCUCAUGAAGAAUGAUCCAGUUUCUUACCAGACAGUUAUCUGUACUCCUCUAAGCAUCUUAAAAAUUUCCCUUACAAUCUAUGGUGAAGAAAUAUGUCCUCAUUAUAUGACAGAUGUUCUCAUAUCCACAAAAUAUUACUACGCAAUUGCAGCAGCACCAAUGUCAACAUAUUAUGAUUCACGCCAUAGAGAGGUCACGCUCUAAUUUUCCCCUUAGUUGCCAGAAGAACAUUAUGACUACAGAGGUACAGACUUUAUU